rnacentral:rRNA from 1 species
UACGUAGGGUGCAAGCGUUAAUCGGAAUUACUGGGCGUAAAGCGUGCGCAGGCGGUUUUGUAAGACAGGCGUGAAAUCCCCGGGCUUAACCUGGGAAUGGCGCUUGUGACUGCAGUGCUGGAGUGCGGCAGAGGGGGAUGGAAUUCCGCGUGUAGCAGUGAAAUGCGUAGAUAUGCGGAGGAACACCGACGGCGAAGGCAAUCCCCUGGGCCUGCACUGACGCUCAUGCACGAAAGCGUGGGGAGCAAACAGG